UACGUAGGGGCUAGCGUUGUCCGGAAUCAUUGGGCGUAAAGAGCGUGUAGGCGGCUCGGUAAGUCCGACUCUGAAAGUCCAGGGCUCAAACCCUGGGAUGCGGGUGGAUACUGCCGGGCUCGAGUCCGGAAGGAGGCGAGUGGAAUUCCCGGUGUAGCGGUGAAAUGCGCAGAUAUCGGGAAGGAACACCAAUGGCGAAGGCAGCUCGCUGGGACGUGACUGA
rnacentral:rRNA from 1 species